rnacentral:tRNA from 1 species
UGGUGGCUCAGUGGUAGAAUUCUUGCCUUCCAUGCAGGAAACCAGGGUUCAAUUCCCAGCUA